GCCUGAUUGGCUCAGUUGGUAGAGCAUGUGACUCUUGAUCUUGGGGUCAUGAGUUCAAGCCCCAUGUUGGGGG
rnacentral:tRNA from 1 species